AACAUGCAGAUGAAGAGGAGGACAUUAACAAAGUCCUAAGGUAUUUUUCUUAUGAGCAUUUCUAUGUUAUAUACUGCAAGUUUUGGGAGCUGGAUACAGACCAUGAUUUCUUGAUUGAUAAGGAGAAUCUCAUUCGAUAUGGUAAUCAUGCUCUUACCUACAGGAUUGUUGACAGAAUAUUUUCACAGGUUCCAAGGAAGUUUACUAGCAAUAUUGAAGGGAAGAUGGGCUAUGAAGAUUUUGUUUAUUUUAUGCUCUCGGAAGAGGAUAAAUCAUCUGAGCCUAGUCUUG
rnacentral:misc_RNA from 1 species